CUAUGACAGCAUUUCGCGAAUAUUUCUGAGCGUUUAUUCAAUAUCCUGCUUUUGUCAGCUUCCAGUAAGCAAACCUUCUCUUCAGGGCACAGAUUGCAUCUUGCUGCACCAGCCGUAUACGCACGGGCACGCUUUAGUAUGCUCCACUUGAUGUUGUAUUGCUUCCCGCUUUUCUUGAGUUUCCACGCAUACUUUGAUAACUCUGUUUCCGCUGAAUACCGAGGAACAGUUAGU
rnacentral:lncRNA from 1 species